rnacentral:rRNA from 1 species
UGAGUGGCGAACGGGUGAGUAAUACGUGAGUAACCUGCCCUUGACUCUGGGAUAAGCCUGGGAAACUGGGUCUAAUACUGGAUACGACAUGUCACCGCAUGGUGGUGUGUGGAAAGGGUUUUACUGGUUUGGAUGGGCUCACGGCCUAUCAGCUUGUUGGUGGGGUAAUGGCUCACCAAGGCGACGACGGGUAGCCGGCCUGAGAGGGUGACCGGCCACACUGGGACUGAGACACGGCCCAG